AUCGGUGAAAUUUCCCCAUGCACAAUUUUGUAUCAAUUUGAUAAAUGUCCCGAACACAAACCACAACCAGCCCAUCACAGACUGAGAGGAUGAGACUGACCAGUAAAUAUGUAAAUAAAUCAUCCCGUAAAUCGGAGAUCGCUCAAUGAGUCUGACACCGUUUCUUGGUUUGUCAUAUUCAUUUCCUAAACCUGCCUCAAAGAGCUUCUCCACGUUCACCUAAAGGUGCUCCGUAGUCUAU